GUUUAAAUCAACAGGACUCUUAUUGUCAAGGUAACUCCACGGUAACUCUAUUAAGUGAAUCCAAAACACUUACCUUGUACUAAACUCCUCUUUUUUUUUUUUCUAAAGAGAAUUGCACACACAUAAUAACACCAAGGUAGGUCGAUUCAAAAUGAAAGGAACAUAAGGCAAAUCAGUAGGUUUGCCUCAGAAACCUAUAUGUAUCCGUACAGUGAGAGUUUUCUAAAGAUACGCAUAAACACGCACUACAUUGGAAAAACAGUCUGGCAAAGGAACAAGGAAAAGAAAGGUAAGAAUAGGAUGUCUGGUUUUGCUUGUCCAGGAAAGAAAAGAUACUGCAAUCUACCUUGUUUAGAUGCCCUUCUUCGAAUCUUCAUUUUGGGAAAGGAAGGCCACGAGUAGUUAAAAGAGGCAGCACGGAGAGUGGAUGUGAGGGGGCCUGGAUGUGGAAGAAGAAAGAAUAACAGCCCCAAGUCUGAAGAGAGGAGGGAUGCAGGGAUAGGGAAGUGCCUGGUGUACCCCAAGGAGAAGAAAUCCCUCCUAGAAGGAAGAACCCACGAACUUCAGGAGAGCAGCAUCUAACUGAUAAUCUUCCAUUCCAAUUUUCCCAAACAACAUCUUGCAUGCCAUAGACUUGUUCACAGACUUAUUUUUAUCAAUUUUGAUAUUAAAGUUUAACUGACUAUA